GGAGAAUGACUGUGGCAUGGCCACUUUGGCUUUCUCUCACUCCUUCACCCCCGCUGCUAACUGAAAACGUCUCCUGGCCAGGCUGGAGCUAGAAUAUAGGCAAGACUACAGUCGUCAUCUUGAGCCAUUAGAUUGAAACCAUGUUUGGGGAAUGGUAGAAAACAAGUUAUGAGAAAAUUUAGUCUCCAGCAGUAUUAAGAUAACUGCAUUUAUGAUGGUGAAUUCCUACAAGGGAUCUCCAUAGGUGCGGUGCACCAUUUCCCACUGGAUUACUUCUUAAUCAUCAAAGUGAGACUUUCCAGAAAAAGAAAUAACUGUUUUCUAUAAUAAAGCAAAGAACCAGGUGGUGCGUUGCCCUGGCAGGAGAUCUCCCUUGCUUUCUGCCUGACUGCGCACUCACACAUCACGGAGGGAAGGCGCGGGCAGAGACAGUGAUGGGCAAUGACAGUUUUCUCGACACUGUUUCUGCUUUGGAGAUUGUAGAAAGAUAAGGGCACCUCCAUGUCAGCAGUUUGAAAGAAAAUUCCUUGUUUGACAACUAUGGCAUGCAGUGCAAAUUCUUGUGAUUUGGUUGUUUACAGCAUUUGGGAAAAUGUCACAGUUGUAGUAAAUAUCAAUACCAACAAA